UACGUAGGGUGCAAGCGUUAAUCGGAAUUACUGGGCGUAAAGCGUGCGCAGGCGGUUAUGUAAGACAGAUGUGAAAUGCCCGGGCUUAACCUGGGAACUGCAUUUGUGACUGCAUGGCUAGAGUUUGGCAGAGGGGGGUAGAAUUCCACGUGUAGCAGUGAAAUGCGUAGAUAUGUGGAGGAACACCGAUGGCGAAGGCAGCCCCCUGGGUCAAGACUGACGCUCAUGCACGAAAGCG
rnacentral:rRNA from 1 species